AUCAUCUAAUAAUUAGACCUAGAUCUACUAAGCGGAGCUGAAGUCGCGUGUCUCUUCUCGCCUCCUCUGCCACUUCGGCUUCUCCCCGUAAACCAUUUAGACUGAGUUUUAAUCGAUACAUCCAUACUCUUUCUCUCCUCCCUUUUCCUUCAAUUCAAUUAAUCAUCCUUUAAACACAAUUACAUCUCCAUGAUCACUCACGCUUCAGCUUCUCCUCUGUUGCUAUAUACAAGCUGUAUUAUUAUUUUUUUUUUGGUUCUGUCUCUGUAUAUUCCUUGCUCACCAGUCACCACUUCCAUGGUGAUACCAUUGCUAUGAAGCCGAGAAUGGAAAAUUGAGAUCUUGAAAAGCUAUGGUGGACAACCUAAUUGGCAGAUGCGUGAAAACUUUCACGAAACUGGGGUCGAUAAAAAGAAAUUGUAUCGUCAACUUGACCAAUAUUAACUAACCCUCUUUCUCUCAUGGCUUUGAUCCCUCCCCUAUCUGUCCUCGAUCCACUUCCCUCAUGGGGACAUAGACGCACACUGCAACACUGGUCCGUGGUCUCAACUUCACCGGCCUCCGUCUCCAUGGACGGAUCAAAGGAAACGUCAACAAGCUCUAUGCUCAACUCGAGAAAUCUUCUCCGAUAAAAGUUGAAUCUGGAAAUUCCAACACGAAGAAGAGAUCUGAUUACGACUCCCCCCAUGCGGCUCCUGUUGUCGUGAAAAGGUACAUUGACGGAGGAAGACCGGAUCGGGGAUGUUCAGGGAACCUCUAUCUCAAAUCCACACCAGCUACUUUAACACCGGCGUUCCUGAAAUCAAAGACUUGACUACCAGGUUGCUUAAUUACUAAAUCAUCAGAGACGAGUGUUCAUGGCGACACCAGAUGACUUGGCUCUGCCUUUCUUUUCUCUUUGGUCUUUGGGUUUUACUUUACGUCUUCCUAGAACCGGUCCAAGCAGGCCUGCUACUACUGUCCAUCAGAUUGUUGUCCUUUGGAAUGUGUGAUGAGUAAUGCAUUGAUAAGGAUGUUGAAAGAGGUAGGGAGCUUAUGCGGAUUACAAGAUGACAUCUACUGCUUUAAGGGAACAGUUUUGCGGAAGAUGGUAAAAGUCUCGGGAGCCUAUGAACAUGUGACUGAGACUACCAUACAGCUCUUACGAAGCACCGUAAACCAUCACGUUGAAGAGGCUGGAUGAGGCCGAGGGAGACGAGAAAGAGUUGGCGCAUCAAGAGUAUUCUGAUCCCAGUAACGGUGAGGCAGAGCGUGAGAAUGGUAACAAGUUCUUCAAGAAGCAGGAGUAUCACAAUGCUAUGAUAUAUCACACUGAAGAUAUCAAAAGGAAUCCAAAAGACCCGAGAGUAAGCCAAAUCCAAUCGUCAUAUGUCCUCUACUGCUGUGUACAAGUUUACAAAAAAAAGCUUCCUUAUUUGAUUGUUUGAAUUAACAAGUUAUUAUCAACAUUUUCUUCUGGGUUUUGAUGACUAUCCAUUAGUAGAAUACAAUUUUGUUCAAUAGA